GACGAACGCUGGCGGCGUGCCUAAUACAUGCAAGUCGAACGCAGUGGGAACGGUUGAGUAAAACGUGGGUAACCUCCCAUCAGAGGGGAUAACCCUUGGAAACAGAUGCUAAACCGAUAUUGAUGUAGGUACCCGCUGUGCAUGAGCUAGUUGGUGAGGUAACGGCUCACCAAGGCCACGAUACAUAGCCGACAUGAGAGGGUGAGCGGCCACACGGGGACUGAGACACGGCCCAGACGCGUACGGGAGGCAGCAGUAGGGAAUGUUCGGCAAUGGACGAAAGUCUGACCGAGCAACGCCGCGUGAGUGAAGAAGGUUUUCGGAUCGUAAAGCUCUUUUGUUAGAGAAGCGGUAUCUAACCAGAAAGCCACGGCUAACUACGUGCCAGCAGCCGCGGUAAUAC
rnacentral:rRNA from 1 species